rnacentral:lncRNA from 1 species
CAGGGACAUGUAAAGGUGCAGGACCUUGCACAGCAGCACAUUGGGGUGCAGGACCUUGCACGGGGACACCUGGGGUUGCAGGACCUUGCAUGGGGACACAUGGGGGUGCAGGACCUUGCACGGGGUCACCUGGGGUUGCAGGACCUUGCAUGGGGACACAUGGGGGUGCAGGACCUUGCACGGGGUCACCUGGGGUUGCAGGACCUUGCAUGGGAAUACGCAGGGUACAGGCCCUUGCACAGGGACACGUGGGGGUGCAGGGCUGGCACAGGGACACCUGGGGGUGCAGGACCUUGCAUGGGGACACGUGGGGGGUGCAGGACGUGGCAUGGGGCCGUGGGGUGCACCCAGCACCCAUCCCACCGCACUGCCCGGGCAGUGCUGCCACGGGCUGGCCAGGUUGCGGUGGUGCCAGGGCCGGGUUGAGACACCGCCAGGAGCAGCUGCGGUCCCAUGGGUGCCACCGGACCGGGCCGGGCUGGGGCCACCCACCAGGGUUAUUCCAGGCAUCCCAUGCCACCCCUCUCGGCCCUGGCACCACUGCACCGUGCCCAUCACCGUGGCGCAGGGCAGACACCCAGCAUUGCCAGCCAUGCCGUGCCCAUCACCAUGGCACAGGGCAGAUGCCCAGCAUCGCCAGCCACGUUGUGCCCAUCACCGUGGCACAGAGCCAGCUCCAUUUUGGGGAAUUCCCAGGCUGCCAGCUGUACCGUGCCCAUCACCGUGGCACAGGGCAGACACCUGGUGUUGCCAGCCUUGCUGUGCCCAUCACCAUGGCACAGGUCUGGCUCUGUUUCGGGGAUACCCAGGCUGCUGGCUGCACCAUGCCCAUCACCGUGGCACAGGGCGGAUGCCCAUGUUGCCAAAAGCACCGUGCCCAGCUCCAUGGCACGAGCCCGGCUACAUUUCAGGGUUAGUGGCCAUGCUGUGCCCAUCACCGUGGCACAGGGCAGAUUGCCGGCAUCACCAGUCACACUGUGCCCAUCACCAUGGCAUGGGGCUGGCUCUAUUU